CCACAAAAGCUUAUACCCCAAUAAAUUUGUUAGUCUCUAAGGUGCCACAAGUACUCAGUGUAAAAAUAAGUAUAACUUGGGCUAACAGACAAAAAUACACCUACUAGGUAGAGACUACAUGAAAGCUGGUGGGGAGCCCUCAUUAGGGUUUAUGGAAAGCACUCCAGUGAGAAGCUUGGGAUUCUUUCAAGUAUUGUUAAUACAGAUCACCACUCCUGACCUGUAUCUACACACUCCACACCAAGCCAGAAUUCUCCAGCCCAUUAAUGCAGGCUUUCUGUUGUGCCAUGGAAAGGAACAGGGCCUAUUGGAAGGAACUAAGGAUGCAUAUACAUACAUCAGAACUCCUCCUCCUCCCUCAGCCUCUAACCAAAAGGUCCAGUUUGCUUCCCCCUCCAGCUAUGCCUAGUUCCACUGUAAAUAGAUAAACUCUAUUUAGUGUUGAUUUGUAUUUCUUUGUUAGGGAUUUUGGUUCCAAGAACUAUUUCGCCUGAUACCAACCUUCUUCCAAGGAUGGAGGCUCUGGCAAAAGUUUAAAGACUGCCCAUUUUCUAACCUUAGAUUUCCAAUCUGUCCCACAGACCCAGUGCCUUUAGAGGCUUGAGUGAAGCCUGUUUGCUUAGCUAGUGCUAAAUCCGCCCUAAAUUUACACCUUGAGUAUGCAAUGAUCAGCCUCUAAUCUCAUCCAUGCUGAGGGAGGAGGCCCCAAGAGCUUCAGGUGGAUUUGGAGUUGUGACCAGCUUUGGCUCUCCUUCAAAAUCCCAGCUUCAGCUUGUCACAGUCAUGGAUCUACAAGGUUUGGUGUCUGCCCCAGAGUGUAACCAGCUCCUUGGGGGCUGAAGGGGUAACUCCCCAGGAUCCAAACAGUUCCCCAGGGAAAGGCCCAUAGCCUCCGUGACUCCGAAAUGGCCUUUGGGGGCCAGGGAUCCAUAUUUUUCUGUGUGGCUUCCUGCACCAACCCCAGCCAAGCUAGGCCCCUGUGAGAGACUUGUUCUUCACCCCUGGAGGGAGCAGUGCUUUGAUAUUUGCAGCAACAUCAAGCCAUCCCCUGGCAUACCGCAUCUGAAAGCCCAGAGGUCAGCAUCAAGAAGCAAAGAUUAAGACAGAGUUUAGAUGCGAGCAUCAGGGGUCCCUGAGUCAUGGUGCUCUAGGAACCAUCUCUGCUUCUUUCUCUCCCUGUUCUUUGUUCCCAUCCCAGGGGAGAGCACAGCCAUGUGGUGCCUUUCCCCUUUCCUCUCCAGCAUGGGGCCAGUUUGCCACCCAGUGGAAGUGGGGAGAAUGGUGGUGGCUAGGUGGGGUUUCCUUUGUGUGUUCUGCAUCCUCCUGUUCACAGGUGUAGCCUUUAUUCAAUUUAAUGGUGGUUAUCUCCAGACCUGGUCCCUUCCCUUUGCACUUAGUGCAUAGCACUAUAAAGUCCAGAGAGAAACUGGUGUGUGCAUAGAAAAUUAAAAAAAAAAAAAAAAAAAAAUUACCCCACAUUCAUCAGUCACCAAGUGUGGCUGUGGGCUACAGGGAGCUUUGGCUUUACUGCCAUGCAGAAUCGCAUCUACCUCCCUCUUUCCUGGAUUCUAACCCAGCAUGACGGUUCUACUUUGCUAAGUUAGUAGUACAGGAGGUCUGGCAGAUACUACUAGAGAAUUGGAAACCGUGGGUAGGAAAAUCCUGUGUAGCAGCAAGGGGAAAGUUUUCUAUUUGGGCAGCACAGAUAGAAAUAGACCAUCUCUUUGUGUCAGCACCUGUCCUGGGCUCUAUGAACUGUAAGGCAAUAGGGCUGCUCAGUAACUUCCCUUAAAGUUAAUCUCUCAGUGACUGGCAUAUUGUAUUCCAGGGGAAGAAGUUUCAGUUUUUCCAUGCUUGCCUCACAGCAUUUGAAAGGGGCCAUUUAAGAUCCCGCCUCUGUGUUCCCAAUGCCCUUGAAAGGCUUCUCCCUCAUCCUAGGCAAACUUCUGGUGUCUAUUUCAAUCCCAAGGAGAAUGUUCUGUCCCUGGCUCUGAAGGCUGCAUUCCUUGUGACAGCGCUGGUCAGGAGAGUCCCAGAGCUCCAGGCUGUAGUGACUAGCCCUGUUUAGGGAGUGCUUCUCAAAGAUGCAGUGGUGCUGCAGCCUCCUGCUGAAAGUGGCCUCAAACUUCAAGCUAAACUAUCUUUUUAUCUACCUAUCAUUCUAUCUUCCAUCACGCUAUCAGCUCAGCGUGUGUAGUACAGUAUAACUAUGCAGCAUUCCUAAGUAUUGGGGAAGCCAGAACCAUUGUGUUAUCGGGCAUGUCAGGAGUAAGGCUGGUCCUUCACCUCCUAUUACCAGGUCCUCGAGGAAGGGUGUGAGUAUGUUAGGUUAAGCUAUUUAUAAUAGGAAUGUUACCACCAGGAGUUGUGGAAUUCUUUUACUGUUUUGCAGUCAUAAGUUUCAUAGCAUUUAUUAUUCUUUUGUUAAUCUCAAAAUUUUUAUCAAUGUAACCCCCAAGGAGCUUACAUAGAUUCCUGGAGCUCUGUCUGCCGGCAGCUCAGGGAGGAGGAGCCAAGGCAAACUCAGAGUCUGCCUGGCAACCAAUAGGGAGUGAGAUGCCCCUCCCAGGGAGUUCAGGAGAGGCGAGAAGCCCUUUUGGAGAGGCUGGAGCCAGCCAGGGCAAGGGCAGGACUGGUUGUGUGGGGAGCUGGUGAGUCCCAGGCCUGCAAGCAGGGUUCCCCCUGAGAACUGGCCUCUAGGGACCUGACAGCUGAUCCCUCACCUCGGUUUUCUUUCCCCACGGGUGAGUCCCAAUUGGUAGUGUUUUUUGAGAAAUUUCCCCAGCCAGGCUCCAGCUCCCUAGGUGAGACUAGUCACCACAUGGUCAGCUCUGCUAGUCCAGGGAAGCUGCCUGCUGAGUGUGUGACUGGAGGCUGGGCUAGGAGGCUACAGUUGGGAUGUUAGGGUAGUUGUAUAACCUACACCUUGAGCCCUGCACCCCUUUGUGGUGAGGGGAAAUCCUGGGACCAACGCAGCCUGAUUCCUGCUUGAGGAGGAUCCCUGACAGCAGACAGCAGCCCUUCUGCAGUGACUGAAGAGCCCAGCAUCAUCUUCAAACCUGAAGAUCAUUCAUGGAGUUCACUACGCCCAGCUGCUACUGGUAACUGACGGUCCCUGUGGCUCCUCAGACAAUCUCCGUCUCCGCUCCUGAAGGAUUACGACCUGUGCAUCACCUGUUAUAACACUAAAAACCACGACCACAAGAUGGAGAAAUUGGGCCUUGGCCUAGACGAUGAGAGCAACAACCAGCAGACUGCAACCACCCAGAGCCCUGGUGACUCUCGCCGCCUGAGCAUCCAGCGCUGUAUCCAGUCCCUUGUCCAUGCCUGCCAGUGUCGUAACGCCAACUGUUCACUGCCGUCCUGUCAGAAGAUGAAGCGAGUUGUCCAACAUACCAAAGGCUGCAAGCGCAAGACCAACGGAGGGUGCCUUAUUUGCAAACAACUCAUUGCUCUUUGCUGCUACCAUGCAAAGCACUGCCAGGAGAACAAGUGCCCGGUGCCCUUUUGCCUCAAUAUUAAACACAAGCUUCGCCAACAGCAACUUCAGCACCGUCUGCAGCAGGCCCAGAUGCGCCGAAGGAGGAUGGCGAGCAUGUAGAGGACCGGUGUGGUAGGUCAGCAGCAAAGAUUGCCUUCACCAACCCCAGCCACACCAACAACUCCACCAGGCCAGCAGUGUAGCCCAUAGAGCUAGUUUAGCCUUUUAUUAUAUUUAGCAGUAACGCAAGGAACCUACAGGCCUGUACCCUGUAAGACAUUACCUUAAGCAAGAUAGAAUAAGAAUAGCGUAGCAUAGUAGGCCUACGUCCCUUGGCAUAGAUAAAGGGCCUGACAAGGAGAAAGUUUUCUAUAUGGGCAGCAUGGAUAGAAAGAGACCAUCUAUCCGUGUCAGCACCUGCCCUGGGCAUUAUGAACUGUAAGGUAAUAGGGCUGCUCAGUAAAUUCCCUUAAAACUAAUCUGUCAGUGAUUGCAGCAUAUUGUAUUCCAGGGGAAGCAGUUUCUCCAUUGAAAGGGGACAUUUAACAUCCCUCCUCUGCGUUCCCAAUGCCUUUGAGAGGCUUCUCCCUCAUCCUAGCCAAGCUGCUGGUCUCUGUUUCAAUCUCAAGGAGAAUGUUCUGUCCCUGGCUCUGAAGGCUGCAUUCCUUGUGACAGCGCUGGUCAGGAGAGUCCCAGAGCUCCAGGCUGUAGUGACUAGCCCUGCUUAGGGAGUGCUUCCCGAAGAUGAAGUGGUGCUGCAGCCUCCUGCUGAAAGUGGCCUCAAACUUCAAGCUGAGUAAGACCAAUGUACUGUGGGGUUGGUCAGGCUGUCAAGGCUAAGAUGCUGGAGGUGCCCUUUUAGCUACUAACCUAAUGGGACAAAAUCCUUCAUUAAAUCUCUCAGAUAAUUCUUGGGUUAGUCAUGUGUGGAAAUAUCUCAGGAGAGAGGAUCUGUAUGGGCCAUCUACAGGAGCUGUCCUGAAUUAUUUCUCCCCACAAACCCCUGGCUUUCUACUAGUUGCUCUGAAGAACAGUGUGCUUUGGAGGGGAGGUUGGAUUUAGUGCAGCAUAUGCCCCCUUUAAAGUUGGGGGAAAUAGAUUUGCCACCCUCUGCAUGACCCUCUUCUUCCACUCUCAGGUGCCCCACCAUUCCUGAGAACCUGAAAUUGCUGGCCCACUCUACCCCCUCUCAAGAGCCUCAGCCCCCUGGAAGCCCCUCCCCUCUACUGUUCUCUCCCAGGACCCCAUCUCCCCUACUCCACACCUGACCCCCUCCCUGCUGGCGAGCCUGGCCAUUGGUGAUGUCUGUCUCACUUCCCGGGUGGCCCUUGGUGCUGAGAGGUGCCAUCGUGGUUUUGGCAACUGUCAGGUGAGGCCCCGGUCUGCUGCGCAUACAGAGUGGGACCUGGGUGGCUUCUGUUCCAGCCAUGAUGAGCAUGACCACUAGUUACAAGAUCACCAAACAGGCAUCAACAAAAAGAAGACCAGCCAAUGACAUCUCUUAACUGGCAAGAGAGUGGAAAACCCAGCCCAGUCAGUGGCAACCCUAUUUUCCAUGUACCUGCUUAAAAGUGGUCAGGCGGUGGCCCAGGUGUCAUGCCCCCCCUCCAGCUCUGCAGCCUAGGGCACAGGCUCUAAUCUACCUUUGGUAGUGGGGGUCAUCGCUCAGUGAUUAGUGGCUAUUCUGGGCUAGAACUGUUCUGUACUCCUGGUUGUGAAAAUGCUUUAGGAUAUUGUUUUCUUUUCUGGUGCAGUCAAACUAUUAAACAAUGUGUGUUCACCACUGUUA